GCAAUGUUGCAGAGGCUCCAAAGCAGCCCAGGAGCAGAGGAAGGCUUAUAUGGCCCAUUAAGCUCCCAUUUAGACCAGCAAUUGCUAGGAGCCCGAGGAAGCUGCCAAUGCCCCCAAGCAAGAUCUGCACCACAGAUAUGUAUCAGCCUUCAGAAAGUUGCUUCUGAUACAUUUGUGCUGCCUGAAGUAAACUCAAAUGGAUUGAAAAGCCCUUAGGCAUGAUGGCAUGAAAUCCCGUGUUAAAAAUAAAGGUGGGCGGAGAUGCCCGAGUCCAUUGCAUCACUUGAUCACUUCAAGCACCUCAGUCAGUAAGGUAAAGAGGAGCCUGAGAAAUUGCUUACAUCAAUGAAAGGCGGAGAUGGCGGAUGCCUGGACAGGCCUCCCUUCAUCUUGCCAAACCAUGCCCAAGUUGCGUGUACGAUCCGACGUGUGCCCUCUUUUGCAGUCACUGAUGGGACACCAGUUUCAACAUCCCCGGCAUCCGAUCGACGUAUACUUGGAUUUGGAUGAAGCUCCGGUCCACCAUCUUUAAUGCUCAUGUGGACAGCCCUGUCGCUAGCCUGCUCGGAGCACACCCGUCGUGAGCAUCGGGUCAAUCUGAAGUGUACGAUCCUGGCAUGUAACUCUAGACGAAGGUGCAAUUUUCAUCCUGGCAAGGCUUCUUCGUCCGAGGUGAUCUGAUUCUCGCAGGCGGACUGAAAACAGAAGCUCGGGCAAGAACAUGACGAUCAGAAAUCAACGGCGCGGAAAUCAACGGCGCGGAAGAUAGUGUCGUUUCCGUGCAUCCACGGGACAGUACUGCAUCUUCAAUGUGACGCCAGACUUGGAACAGAUCUGUGAUAUGUGAAACAGCAGAUCAUAUGCCAGGCAAAUUUACCUAAGGCAUGCAGCCCAUCGAGGCUCAGUCAGGCUCGUCGAGAAAUCGCUGCAAGUCGCCGUUUCAGGCAGGAUGCAAAGCUUUGAGCACCACA
rnacentral:lncRNA from 1 species